rnacentral:rRNA from 2 species
GGUGCUUGCACCUGAUGAUUUUGGUCGCCAACGAGUGGCGGACGGGUGAGUAACACGUAGGUAACCUGCCCAGAAGCGGGGGACAACAUUUGGAAACAGAUGCUAAUACCGCAUAACAACGUUGUUCGCAUGAACAACGCUUAAAAGAUGGCUUCUCGCUAUCACUUCUGGAUGGACCUGCGGUGCAUUAGCUUGUUGGUGGGGUAAUGGCCUACCAAGGCGAUGAUGCAUAGCCGAGUUGAGAGACUGAUCGGCCACAAUGGGACUGAGACACGGCCCAUACUCCUACGGGAGGCAGCAGUAGGGAAUCUUCCACAAUGGGCGCAAGCCUGAUGGAGCAACACCGCGUGAGUGAAGAAGGGUUUCGGCUCGUAAAGCUCUGUUGUUAAAGAAGAACACGUAUGAGAGUAACUGUUCAUACGUUGACGGUAUUUAACCAGAAAGUCACGGCUAACUACGUGCCAGCAGCCGCGGUAAUACGUAGGUGGCAAGCGUUAUCCGGAUUUAUUGGGCGUAAAGAGAGUGCAGGCGGUUUUCUAAGUCUGAUGUGAAAGCCUUCGGCUUAACCGGAGAAGUGCAUCGGAAACUGGAUAACUUGAGUGCAGAAGAGGGUAGUGGAACUCCAUGUGUAGCGGUGGAAUGCGUAGAUAUAUGGAAGAACACCAGUGGCGAAGGCGGCUACCUGGUCUGCAACUGACGCUGAGACUCGAAAGCAUGGGUAGCGAACAGGAUUAGAUACCCUGGUAGUCCAUGCCGUAAACGAUGAGUGCUAGGUGUUGGAGGGUUUCCGCCCUUCAGUGCCGGAGCUAACGCAUUAAGCACUCCGCCUGGGGAGUACGACCGCAAGGUUGAAACUCAAAGGAAUUGACGGGGGCCCGCACAAGCGGUGGAGCAUGUGGUUUAAUUCGAAGCUACGCGAAGAACCUUACCAGGUCUUUGACAUCUUGCGCCAACCCCUAAGAGAUAAGGGCGUGUUCCUUGCGGGGAACAGCCAUUGACAGGGGGGUGGCCAUGGGUCCG